CCUACGGGGCGCAGCAGUGGGGAAUAUUGGGCAAUGGGCGCAAGCCUGACCCAGCAACGCCGCGUGAAGGAAGAAGGCUUUCGGGUUGUAAACUUCUUUUCUCAGGGACGAAGAAAGUGACGGUACCUGAGGAAUAAGCCACGGCUAACUACGUGCCAGCAGCCGCGGUAAUACGUAGGUGGCAAGCGUUAUCCGGAUUUACUGGGUGUAAAGGGAGCGUAGGCGGCUGUGUAAGCCAGAAGUGAAAGCCCGGGGCUCAACUCCGGGACUGCUUUUGGAACUACAUGGCUUGAUUGCAGGAGAGG
rnacentral:rRNA from 1 species